rnacentral:rRNA from 1 species
CCUACGGGAGGCAGCAGUAAGGAAUAUUGGUCAAUGGACGAAAGUCUGAACCAGCCAUGCCGCGUGAAGGAUGAAGGUCCUCUGGAUUGUAAACUUCUUUUAUCUGGGACGAAAAAAGGGCUUUCUAGCUCACUUGACGGUACCAGAGGAAUAAGCACCGGCUAACUCCGUGCCAGCAGCCGCGGUAAUACGGAGGGUGCAAGCGUUAUCCGGAUUUACUGGGUUUAAAGGGAGCGUAGGUGGGCAGGUAAGUCAGUGGUGAAAUCUCUGGGCUUAACCCGGAAACUGCCAUUGAUACUAUCUGUCUUGAAUAUCCUGGAGGUAAGCGGAAUAUGUCAUGUAGCGGUGAAAUGCUUAGAUAUGACAUAGAACACCCAUUGCGAAGGCAGCUUACUACGGGAUUAUUGACACUGAGGCUCGAAAGCGUGGGGAUCAAACAGGAUUAGAUACCCUGGUAGUCCACGCCCUAAACGAUGGAUACUCGACAUCAGCGAUACACUGUUGGUGUCUGAGCGAAAGCAUUAAGUAUCCCACCUGGGAAGUACGACCGCAAGGUUGAACUUAAAGGAAUUGACCGGNGUGAGACGAGCGACGGACGACGACGAGGGAGGAGG